AGCUCGCAAGCUGAAGCCUGGUGAUUGCACCGGGUGGAUGAGUGGCGAACGGGUGAGUAACACGUGAGUAACCUGCCCCUGACUUCCGGAUAAGCCCGGGAAACUGGGUCUAAUACCGGAUACGACUGCCGGACGCAUGUCUGGUGGUGGAAAGUUUUUUCGGUUGGGGAUGGGCUCGCGGCCUAUCAGUUUGUUGGUGAGGUAAUGGCUCACCAAGACGACGACGGGUAGCCGGCCUGAGAGGGCGACCGGCCCCACUGGGACUGAGACACGGCCCAGACUCCUACGGGAGGCAGCAGUGGGGAAUAUUGCACAAUGGGGGAAACCCUGAUGCAGCGACGCAGCGUGCGGGAUGACGGCCUUCCGGUUGUAAACCGCUUUCAGCAGGGAAGAAGCGCAAGUGACGGUACCUGCAGAAGAAGUACCGGCUAACUACGUGCCAGCAGCCGCGGUAAUACGUAGGGUACGAGCGUUGUCCGGAAUUAUUGGGCGUAAAGAGCUCGUAGGUGGUUGGUCACGUCUGCUGUGGAAACGCAACGCUUAACGUUGCGCGUGCAGUGGGUACGGGCUGACUAGAGUGCAGUAAGGGAGUCUGGAAUUCCUGGUGUAGCGGUGAAAUGCGCAGAUAUCAGGAGGAACACCGGUGGCGAAGGCGGGACUCUGGGCUGUAACUGACACUGAGGAGGAAAGCAUGGGGAGCGAACAGGAUUAGAUACCCUGGUAGUCCAUGCCGUAAACGUUGGGCAUAGGUGUGGGGGGCAUUCCACGUUCUCCGCGCCGUAGCUAACGCAUUAAGUGCCCCGCCUGGGGAGUACGGUCGCAAGGCUAAAACUCAAAGGAAUUGACGGGGGCCCGCACAAGCGGCGGAGCAUGCGGAUUAAUUCGAUGCAACGCGAAGAACCUUACCAAGGCUUGACAUACACCGGACCGUCCUGGAAACAGGUCUUCUUCUUUGAAGCUGGUGUACAGGUGGUGCAUGGUUGUCGUCAGCUCGUGUCGUGAGAUGUUGGGUUAAGUCCCGCAACGAGCGCAACCCUCGUUCUAUGUUGCCAGCAUGUGAUGGUGGGAACUCAUAGGAGACUGCCGGGGUCAACUCGGAGGAAGGUGGGGAUGACGUCAAAUCAUCAUGCCCUUUAUGUCUUGGGCUUCACGCAUGCUACAAUGGCUGGUACAGAGAGAGGCGAACCCGGAGGGCAAGCGAAUCCCUUAAAGCCAGUCUCAGUUCAGAUCGUAGUCUGCAAUUCGACUACGUGAAGUCGGAGUCGCUAGUAUUUGCGAGAUCAGC
rnacentral:rRNA from 1 species